UACGUAGGGUGCGAGCGUUAAUCGGAAUUACUGGGCGUAAAGCGUGCGCAGGCGGUUAUGUAAGACAGAGGUGAAAUCCCCGGGCUCAACCUGGGAACGGCCUUUGUGACUGCAUAGCUAGAGUACGGUAGAGGGGGAUGGAAUUCCGCGUGUAGCAGUGAAAUGCGUAGAUAUGCGGAGGAACACCGAUGGCGAAGGCGAUCCCCUGGACCUGUACUGACGCUCAUGCACGAAAGCGUGGGGAGCAAACAGG
rnacentral:rRNA from 1 species